GAUGAACGCUAGCUACAGGCUUAACACAUGCAAGUCGAGGGGUAACGAGAGGAAAGCUUGCUUUCCUUGUCGACGACCGGCGCACGGGUGAGUAACGCGUAUCCAACCUGCCCCCAACUAGGGAAUAACCUUGCGAAAGUAAGACUAAUACCCUAUAAUUUCCUCAGAUGACAUCUGACGAGGAAUAAAGAUUUAUCGGUUGUGGAUGGGGAUGCGUCUGAUUAGCUUGUUGGCGGGGUAACGGCGCACCAAGGCAACGAUCAGUAGGGGUUCUGAGAGGAAGGUCCCCCACAUUGGAACUGAGACACGGUCCAAACUCCUACGGGAGGCAGCAGUGAGGAAUAUUGGUCAAUGGGCGGAAGCCUGAACCAGCCAAGUAGCGUGCAGGAUGACGGCCCUAUGGGUUGUAAACUGCUUUUAUACAGGAAUAAAGUUAGCCACGUGUGGUUAUUUGUAGGUACUGUAUGAAUAAGGACCGGCUAAUUCCGUGCCAGCCGCCGCGGUAA
rnacentral:rRNA from 1 species